GGGGGCGUCUGGUUUCGACAUGGUAGGUUGGAUAUGAAGAGCAGGUCGUGGUCUCCUCGCCACGUAAAACAGAGGUAACGUCAAGUUAAUUGGCAAAACUAACACUCAGAGCGCUCCUGCGCUCGCCAUGGCUGCUUAAUUUAGCCAGGCUGUCAAACCAGGGUUUGUUUCCGACCCUGGGGCGGUAUUAUCUUUAGGAAGCUGCUCCUUGGUACGUCGUUGGUAUGAUCAAGGAUAAGAUUGAACCAGCUAGGGUGCGCUUCGUGUGUCAAUGUGCAGAGCGUAUCCGAAAUCUAUCCAUUGACUAAGCUUGUAGCGCUUCAUUGAUGAUCUAGUAUGGACCGGGGUUCGAAUCCCCGCGCCUCCACCA
rnacentral:tmRNA from 1 species